UGUCUUGUAGCUCAGUGGUAGAGCAAUGCUAAGUGCAUAUGUCUGCGGUUCGAUUCCGCCCAAGACAA
rnacentral:tRNA from 1 species